ensembl:lncRNA
AUCAGAAAGAAGCUGGAAAUGUGCCAGGUACUAUAUUCAAAACACCUUGAUACAAACUGCAUUGCUAUCUAUAUUUGGGAACCAUAAAAUAAGAUGCAAAACUGAAACCAUAUACUUACAAAAUAUACAUUCAGGCCUCAUUGUUUUUCAAAAGAAGAAACACAGAUAAACUACAAGGAUAGCAUAUGGUUUGAACAUGAAUGUGGUUUGCAUCUGUUACUGGUUAAUUACUUCAAACUUUACCCAGAGUGGAGUUUCAGAGACACAGAGACGUGGGUUAAAUAAACGAGCCACGUUUUACAGCUAUGACCAUGGUCACAGAGCUAAAAACCACAGAACCCAACCCACAGGUCUUUGAGCCUUGCAGCAGUGCUUUUCUGGGCUGCUCAGCAUAUGAGUCAGGAACGCAAUCACUGUAGGAGACGGGUCUUUCCCUGCUUCUCAUCAGUUUGCUGUUAUCCCAGAGUCAGUCCCCUACACUCACUGGGUCCCACUCCUCUUACUAGGAAAGCCCAGCUGAUGGCAGAAACGUUCUAAACUCGCUGGUGUAACAGAGGCCAGGCUCACUCAGGCCUUCUUGAAUGAACCUUCUGCUCCCAUCAGUCACAAUGAAUUUCAAGCAUACAUCUUUUGAAACUAGCAAAAACAAUUCCUCCUGAAGUAUUCUGCCCAUUUUUCUAAAUUUAAUGUAAAAAAAAAAAAAAAAAAAAAAAUUCUUUUUCUGAAGAGAAAAGAAAGCCCAUCUAUUAAAUUAUCAUGAAGCUGAAAAUGAUAAAACCCAUAUCACAGCAGGCUUCCAGAAUAUCAUGCUCUAACUUUGCCUAUUUCCCUGAAUUUUAGCUAAGAAGUUACAAGUAGCACUGAUGAACACUCAGUAAAGGCCAUGUUUGCUACCUAGUUCCACCAUUACCUAGUGUUAAGUAUUGUUACAAGGCUGUAACUUUGUAUCCCCACAGCUAAUCUUCCAUUUUCAGCAUAAGUACAACAGUAACUACAAAUGAACUGCAAAUCAGAAUUAAAAUCAUUAUGAUUAUCUGUAAGAAGACAACACCUUGAAUCUAAUUCACAUAUACCUACUUCUGUAUUAAAAAGAAAAAGGAAAUCAGGUUAUAAAAGAUAGCUCAUAGUAACAGCCAGCUGUUUCUUAAAUGAUCACAGAGUUCUAUAAAGAUGAUAAUUUUGAAACCUCCUAUAUAAUCCUAAGUAUUUUUUUUUAUCAGCUAUGCAAGUAAAACCAUUUGUAUUUAUUCCAGAAGGAAAUAGAUAGAUAGAUAGAUAGAUAGAUAGAUAGAUAGAUAGAUAGAUAGAUAGAAAACACACAAGUUCCCAAUAUUACAUCGGCAUUCUGGAAAGUUGACUGAAGAGCACUACAUUUCAUUCAUCUCCUUGUGCAACCAUAUGAUAUCUACCUUCCUUUCAAAAGCGUAACAGGGACUAACUGUGGAUGGUUUCAGCAACAACAAAAAAAUGAAUCAUCCAAGAAAAUAUUCACAUUUUUUUUAAUAGCUUCAUAAUGUCUGAUUUUUUGAAAGACAUUUAAAUGCCAUUACCUAUUUUGCUUGUUUUUGGUUUCUUUUUCUUUUUGACUUUUAAAAGAAAAUUACUCACUCUUAGACUAGCAUUUCUUACUGAAGUCAACAUUCUCCCUUGUUAAGAGUGAAGUUACUUUCCUCCCACAAUUUUCCCUCAUGAACUCCUUCAUCUGAGUUAUGAACAGUACGUAAUUUAAAUAAGUCAUAAAUGAGACCAGAAAAAAAAAAAAAAUCUGUUUCUUUCCUGCACACAUCACUUCUAUUUGUUUCAAGUGCAAAAGCCAAUGAUCACAAGUACAGAAUAUUUACACUGCAACCCAAUCCUCAUGGUCCAUGAUAUUUCUUUGUUAAACAGUGCAAAAAUCCUUACAGGCUUAUCAGAUCUUGACAGCUUUACAGGUCUUCUAGAAAGAUUUUGCCACAACAGGACAGUACUUUAAAAUCAGGCCUUUUAGACAAUGUUUAUCAAUGUAAGUCAAUGCGAAGUAAACUUUAUACUGCACUGAAGUCAUGCUCUCUGAGCCAUGGCCUUCAUCAGGCCAGACAAUUGUACGUACCCUGGUCUCCAAGAGACCUCCAAGUACAGCUAGAUUGCCUACAAAGGGAAAGCUCUGAGUGUUGUUCCAUAAUGGAUGUCAAGCUACAUCUCAGACAACAAGAACUAUUGUCUACCCCUAAGUUCCAGUAAGCAAGCACAUUCCUGAUACACCCUGCUGUGUUCACAGAUUAUGAAGGUUUAACAGUGUUCGCAAGUCACAAGCACUGCACACAAAUUAAUUGGGAAAAAAAUAAUAAUAAUAAUAAAACAAUUUUACAUUUCUUGCGGGACUGAGAAGAUAUGAGGAUAUAACAAAUCAGAGAUGUGCUUGGUAUAUUACAGCAGUUAGAUAUGCAGCCUGACAAGCAAGAAGAAGAGAGGAACGCAGAUGAAGUGUAAAGUCACAGCAGCCAAGUAGGUGUAUCUAUAAGCCAUUCAUCCCUCUUGCUUGCCUUUGUUACUAUUUGAGUCAAAAGCAAGCAAGAUGUUUGUCCCACUGAAUUCUAAGUCUACUCUGAUCUUAGAAAUUACCUAAUAUAUCAUCUACACAGCUGGGUUAUAUCUUCUAUUUGCCUUGCUCCCUCCCUCCAAGCAAAUCAAAUUGUAUAGUCCCUAUAAUGUAUAACCUAUCUCACUGCAAGGCCACAGAUAUCUAUACAGAUGCAAUGAUAAUUCAAUAUCUCAGAGAUAAGUUUCUGAGAAAAAUGCUUAGGAAGAUACUGGAAAUUGAGCAGUUGAUACAGAACAAAACAAGAAAUCAGCAUCUCGGCACUUUUUUUUUUUUUUUUUUUUUUUUUUUGAGAUUAUUGCUCACUACAAAAGACACAGUGACAGUCCACAUUUCAUGCUCUUUGAAACUUCAGUGCCUAUCACAAGGCUACAAAACAACUGUGUUAGCAUGAAAUUUCUGCUCUCCUUGCACUCAUAAAUGGCUUAUUGACUCAAGAUAUGGGUGCCAUGGUAGCAGAAUAGUUUCCUUUCCUCACAGAAAGUGAAAGAUAAAGCAAAUAUUCAGGAGUGUAUUGUAAGCAUACUAUCAAUGAUAUGAAUAAAAUAAUUCCGAUCACCAGUAUUGGAAAUUCUACCCUCAUCCUAAAGUGGCAUAUUACUGCCCAAAUCCUUCUGAAUCUGGUUAACUUGCUGAAGUACCAUUAAUAUGCUUCCAUACAGUAGCAUAGGAAAUGAAUUGUAUCUGGUCUGCAUGGAAGUCUUUAAAAUAUGCACAUAUUUAUCAGUCUUGCCCUACAUGCAUAAAUCUACCUAUACAAUUUCUGGAAAACACUGAUAAACAUUACUUAGAAGACAAGAAAUGCACAAAGAAAGAAAAGCAAUGAAUUUACACGGGAAUUUACUGCAUCUGCAGGUCAUACAAAUGAACCCAAUUUUUCCCACAAUUAAAUCCAUGGAGUUAUCAAGACAAUCAGUUUAUUUUAAGACUGUCAACCCCACAUAUAAAUUUCCUUUUGUGCUUGAAAUGCCUGUAUCAGAUAAGAUAGCUUUUGUUUAAACUGUUAUUUUCAGCCUUUGCUUUGGGGGGUUUUGAAUAUACACAGUGAAGUAACUUGAGAUUUCCUACCCUGUUUUAAAAUGUGUUUCUUCUGUCUGUUUGUAUUUUGUAAUUUCCUGUCAAAUAACCUCACCAUAAUUAACUUUCCUUGCUCCAUCCUACUACUUUUUUUUUCUUUUUCUUUUUUUUUUUUUUAAAGUCAUUCCCACUUCCUGAGGAUGGUAAUAAAACACUGAUUGCAUUCGUCUGUUAUCUGCCUUUUCUUCCCCUCCUUCCCUCCUCUCUCACUCUCUUUGUCGAAGCCAGCACUCAGGUUUCAGCUCCUCAUGGGCUGAGAAAGGCACAUCGUGUAGAGAGGAAGCAAAUCAGACUGCAGGAAUCCAGAUUCAUUAGAGUUUAUUGGGUCAGUCGGCAGCUGGACCAGAGCCAGACAAUUAGGGUGCAUUGCCCAAGAAGCCUGGAUGCAUCACUCUCAUCUCAGAGCUUGUUCUUCAUCUGCAGCAGACACCAUAACACCAGCACAUGUCGGCACAGUGCCCUGCUGCCUGCUGUACAUACAAAGAGAGAAGGGAAAGCAGUAGCAUGCUGCUGCUUCAAAUCACUUUGAACUAACUUUAGAACAAGCUGAUUUGGCUCACUUCUUUUUCAUUAAGUGUGAAGCCAUCUAUUUUUGCAACAGAAUUCUCUCACUGCUCUUCACUAAUUCCUACAAAAAGAACCGCGUGCUAAUACGUCCCCCUGCAGAGCCUAUGGACCGUUUACCUUUAUUCGUCUGUAAUUCUUUAAUCUCUUCCAUUCACCUUCAGCUGCACAUUUCUGUUUCAACUAAAUUCAGUCUCUUACCCCUGUCUUCUCACUCCAACUUCCUUUCCACUGUCCACAAGACCAUACCCCUACAUAUUUGAACAAUUACUCUAUUCUCCUCUUUUUUUCCCUUAUCUAUAAACUCAGGAUAAAGCUAGUGCACUCACUUUCUCUCUUCCGCCUUCACCCUGUAUCACAUCCAGCCAAGCUUCUGCCAUUUCACAUUGAAUGAAACUGCUCACUACAGUCAUUCAUUCUCUCUUCUCAAGCAAAUACCAAGGACCUUCCUCUACCUUCCUCCAGCAUGGCCUGUCUGGUUCUUUUGACACUGCUUAUCAUCAUCCUUGCUCUGAUGUCUCAUCCUCACUGAGCUUUCAAAUCAUUAUGUCAUUAUUUCAAAUCAUUAAGUCAUUAUUUUUCCUGACAUUGUUCUUUGUUCUGUAUGGCCCACAGUAUCAGUGGGUGCUUCUGAAAGCUGUGACACAUGCUUCUUAGUUCAACAUGUUUGGAUGAUCCCUGUAGCUCAUGAUCUCAGUGCAACUCAGUCUGCACAGAUGGUACAGAUGCAAUUUUCUGACUGCCAAAGCAGCCCACAGUAAUCCAACACGAAGGUGAUGGCAGGAAUGUGUGGUAAGGUACAAGCAGGAUCUACAGCCACUCUGGCUAGCAGUCUAGUAUCAGAUCAAGAGUUCAUGAGAACACGUCAUCAAAAGUCUCUUCUUCUUCUAAGUCAUCUCCUUCGCCCCCUAUACAUGCCUUAUUUUGUCCCCAAAUUUUCAAGUUUCAUAGCUUGUCACCAACAUAAAUUAUCAUGCUUUCCUAACUGAGCACACUCCCUCCAAAACUUCCUUCUCUCCCUUCCACUGAUGCCAGCAAUGGGAUUUCAACGUUUACAGAACAGAAGAUUCAAGAUCACUUGUGUCAUUUCCUUCCCUUCUUCAGAGUACCACAUCCAUCUGCUCCCUUUUAACCCAAUUUUUUCUCAGCAGCUUAAAUCUCUCACUCAGUACUUCACUGAAACCAGUCUGACAGCAUUCUUCCCUUGAGUCUCUAAAAAAUACCGCUGCCUUAUAUCAGGGCACAAAAGGUACAACUGAUGAAUUCAUCCUCCCUUCUCUGUUCAAUCAGAAAACCCCUAAAUGAAUCUCAAAUGAUUUCCUAACGUGGCACUACAUAUAAAGCUCUUUUUACAUCCCCCUUUUUAACAUUUUUCAGUUUUAUAUUUUUAGAACCUUCCUAAAUUGAUACAGUGAUCCUCAAGAAACCACACCACCAAGAAGUGUGACAACACAGAACUAUUCCAGUUCCAGGUAGCUGACACAAUCAAGCAUAAAUCAUUCAGUCCAAAGCUGAACAACAGAUGUUGAAAGAUUUCUGAAAAAUGCUUGCUGUCAUACCUUCGGUUUUCAAGUGAGCAGUUAUAAAGACUACCAAUACCUAUAUAAUAGAGGAACACCGAGUUACCGAAGCUUUGCUUCUUCUACAAUCAGAUUCAUCCUUCCUUCCUGAUGGCCAUUUUGGGUGUUUGCCAUUGCUUGGGUUAGUCUGUUUGUGGGAGGUGGGGGGGCGGGGAGGGGAAUGAGAUGGGGGAGUUCAGGUAUUUUUUACACUGAUUCCACAUCAAAAUUAUGCUUGAUCCCUCCAAAAGCACUAUCCCUCCACAAGCUACUACACUGCAUAGUAGCCCUCCUGCUGUUUGAAAUUUAUGUGGCUGAAUGUGUGUCCUUUUUCUGUGUGUUUAAACAUUACUUGCAAAUUGUCAUUGAGUCUGCAUUUUGGCGAGUCCAACUUUCACCCUGUCCUGAUAAUUUUUUUUCCUUCUUUGGGACUGAGAAUCCAGCCUGCUGGAGAACUCACAGAAACUCCAAAUUUCUGCACUAACCAGAUCCCUGAACUCUCCAGUGCAGCCAAUAUGCCAACACACAUAAUUCAAGUUUGCUAUCUUUCAAAGGCAACUUUUAAUUAUGAACAUAUUUCUAAUCUUCCCUUCAUUUUACUUCAGUCAAUUCUGCUCACUUGGUCUGAAGUUACUCCCCAUGACUAGCUCUUCUAUGACCACGUCACUAGUUGUUAAAACCUAUACAUUCUUUUAUUCAGGAAGUCCUUUUUUUAUUUUUUGGAGGAUUUUUAAGGUUUUUUGUUGUUUUUUGUUUGGCUUUUUUUUAAUGAUCUUUUUUUUUUUGUUCACACACACACAAUCAGUUACCUUAUAUUUCUGUUCUUCCUGAACACAGCAACUCACUCAGUGCUACUCUUCCAACAAGACUACUAUUCUGCUAUGUGUCUGUUUUCCUCUACAAUAUUUGUUUUAAUGACUAUUUUGGAUUCUUCCACCCUAUCAACCUGGUAUUUAAAUACAAACCUGGUAUUUAAGCACAACAUUUUUCCUUGUUCAUAACUAACCACAACCAAUUGCCCUGUUGGGCGAUGCACAAACCUUUUAUUAACUGUCCAGCUGAACUGAUUACUGUCCAUGUAAUGUCUACCAGUUUCUUUUUUUCUUGCUGUCCUUCCAUUACUCUUUAUCGUAUCUUUUACCUCCUCCAUUUUCUACACACUCAGGACAUGGUAGGAAUAUUGUAUGAGCAGCUACAGAUCUCUUCCUAUAAUUUCUUAGCAUAUUCAGCUGCUGUAAUAGACUCAGUAUCAAAGACUAAUACCCCACACAGUGAUCUAGGCUAUGCAUUAAGAAGUAGUCUUUCCUUGAAUAGAUCCAUGAAUGUUCUUCCUUGAGUGGAUCAUUGAAUGGAGUAGAAAUACAGCCCAAACCUCCCUCCAGUGUUAUGGGAAGCAUAUAUAAUGGUAAAAUCAUGGCAAAGCGGAGCUGAGAAGAGAUCUGCAUAUCCGGAUGGACUUCUUCAAAGAAAGAGGAAAAGCACAAAAAGCACAGACAAGCUGUUAAAAAACAUAGGGGAUAAGAGAGGGAGGGGGGCCCAAAGUGAUGGGGAGCAGAUGACUGCCAACAAAAAUUAUACAAACUCCAGGUACAAUAGAAGUAGCCUAUUAAAUCAUUUUAAAACAAAGUUGAUUUUUGCUUAAGAACUACCUUUUUUUUUUGGAACCAACCUCAGAUCAGUGGCCAUGUUUGUACCUCCCCUUGUUCUCCAGAUGUCUGGCAUGCCUGGGCCUCCUGGUGUUUUGUGAAGGAUGCACUUCCAUGGGCUCCUCGAUGUCCAAUGCCAGAUGGGGGAUCAAUAGUCCCAUGCCAUUUCCUCCCCAGUGCAUACUGCUGGGUGUCAAGGCAUAUGCUGGAGGAUGCACCUCCACGGGCCCCUCAGCAUUAAUUCCCAGAUGGCAGAUCAGUGUCUCAUCUCAUUUUGUCACUGGGAGACAGCACUGAGCCUCAUGGUGAUCACAGGUGGACUGAGCAGUGACUGUGGAGCAUUAUCUUCAUGGUGGUCAUGACUUGGCCUCUUGCCUCUCAUGGGAUAGUGGAAAUAACUUGCCUCCAUGCCAUCUUUUGAACAGUGGGCAUGCCUAUACCCUACACUGUUCAUUGGCUGAUACACACCACUGUGCCUCACCUUGUUCCCUUUUUCAUAUUUGCUCAUGGGCUGAACACAUGAGUGUUGUCAAUGAUUCUCAUGACAUAAUGCCUCUUGCUGCACCCAUUCCACUUAGUCUCUACGAGGAGUGUUGUUCCCUCAUAUGUCAGGAAGCUCCUCUUUUUCACCCACACUCAUCUGGGCAGAUGGCUGCCUUGCUGCUCUGUCUCCUCUCCCUUUCGGCUAACAGGGCACACUGCUGAUUCAGAUUCAACUUGCCAUGAAUCAGAACUCCAAGGUCCCUUUCUCUGGGACUGCUCUCCAGCCUUUUGGCCCCCAGCCAGUACAUAUAUUCAGGGCUGUCUGGCUCCAGGUGCAGAAUCCAGCCUCUCUAUCCCCAAAGGAGUCAUCAUCUCCUCCCAGUUUAGAGUUGUCUAUAAACUUAUUUAGCAUGCGUUUGAGUCUUGACUCCAGAAAGUAAAAAAAAAAAGUCACACUGUUACUUGUUGUGGAUGACUAACUGAUUAUCAGUGGUCAUUAAAUACUGUAUCAGAUAUUCAAAUAAUCAUUUAAAUGAUUUAUUUCCAAUCAACCUGGCCUGAUAUGCCACAAUGUCUCCUGACAUCUUACAUAAUAGACCAACUGACAAUUUAAAAUCUUGGAGACUCACUUUCUGCCAUGCUGCAGUUCUAUGGCCUAUAAAUUGUAUAAACUUUACCCAUGCUCCAUCUCAAUACCUGUGUACAGCUGUCAAAUUGAGUUCCUUACAGCAAGAAAAAUCCUUCAUGGCAUGCUGAAAGUGACUAAGAAAGAGCUGAGGCAUAUUUCUUACAUUUACCAUUUGAAACAGUUUGUGUGCUAACAGAAUAUUUACCAAUAGAAAAAAACACAGAGAAGGAUUCAGCAUUUGCACUUUGUAAAGAGGUAUGGUAUAACACAGCAAGAACAAUAGUUCAUUGCGUAACUCCUUCUAAAAAAGGAUUACAUCAUUUUAACUUCAUUAUAAAGGAGGAACUCCCCAUAUUUCCCAGUCAAGUAAGCCUAUGAGGUCUAGGUAAGUUCCAAAAAAAUAAAAAUAAAAUAAUAAUAAUAAUAAAAAAAACCAAUCCUGUAAAUUAUUUCAAAUUAUUAGUUCAGUUGUCAGUCAAUUGCUUUGGAUAAUGGAAAUCCAUGGUCACCUGGAUUCCAAACAUGUUUCCUUGCAGGCUUCAGAGUAGAGGUUUAUCUCUUAUUUGCCUACAUACACACUGAUACCCACCCUCUUCAAGAAAAAUUUAUUCUCUUACUUUGGCUAUGGGAGAUGACAAGAGUGAUUAACAUGACCAGAGACUCUGCAUAUGACCUCUUCUUUUAUGGUGUACUCUGUGUCACGGAGGUUCAUUACAUUUGUGUUUCCUAAACUUACUUCACUCAAGGAAUGAACUUUUAAGAUGGAUGAAAACUCAGCAUAGCUGCUUUAAACAAAACCAUCCUGUGAUUUGUAAAUAAGAAGUGAUUAGAGAAACUUGCUGCAGAAAUCAGUCACAUUAAUCAGCUGGUUACAACAGACUGAUGAACAGCCACCAGAGCUGUCCAAACAAUUUUGUUAACCUUUAACAAAAAUGUGAAAGAAUAUGCUGCAAAGCAGUUCAGCUUUAAAUUGACAGGACAUGUGCCUUUUGGAGAAUACUGAAGUUUUAAGUUUAUUAUUUUAUUCAGAUUUUGCCAGAUAAACCAGUCCAUAAAAGAGCAAUUUAUAGCUAUAGUACUCCUUUCCACAAGUUCAUCACAGACUGUGAGCAAUAACAGCCAAAGGCAGCACAUACAACAUUUACUAGGCAUCAGAUCACAGCCAGGACUCCUUGAGGGAGGCUGAUGCUUAGCCAAUGCACAAAGCAAAAUGAAUCAUUAGAAAGUCUCUGAGGAGUUACUUCAGCAUUGCUUUCCCUCCUGCGUCACCAUUGGUCUUUUAGUUAUCAAAACCACCUUAGAACUGGAGAGCAGUCAGUACAACACAGUGCCCAGCAACUUGGUGCUUUCUGCUUGUUUUUCGUUUGUUUGUUUUUUUACUUUGAAGCAUUUGAUUCAUGUUUUGAUAUAGGCUGGUGGAUUUCAGAUGACAGUUUCCAGAUUUCCUUCCACAACCACCAGAAACAGAAAGCUAACUUACAGGAAGGUGAGGUGCGAGAGGGAGACAGACAGCAACCCCGCAAGCAGUCUUUAUCAAGUCAUUUUCUUCCACAAGCUGCAACACCAAAAUAGAUUGAUAAUACCAUGCUUAUGUCAGUCAUAACAUACCUCUUAAAGCCUUUCAGAAGAAAAUCUUACCAGGAUGACCUUUCAACUAAAUUUGUUCACACCAAACACAAAUUCAUCCUCUCUGUAGCCAAGGAAAAUCUAUUAUUUCAGAUGCAGGAUAGCAGACACAAGCACUAGCAGUUCUCAAGAAGGAUGCACAUUUUAUUAGAUGGCAAGGAAUUUGGACAAAUUCAGUGAAAUGCACUUUAUUUUUCUUCACAUAAAUCUACUUCGUAAAUUAACAUCAAUCCUUUUUACACAGAGCAAAAUUCAACAUGGAGUCAGCUCUUACUGAAGAUUUCAUAGCUGGAAGGUGUGUGAUAAACUCUACUCUGUUACAAUAGCAUAUCUCAGUUAAACUCAGCAGGGACAUUUGUUUAAGUGACAGAAGAAUUUGAUGACAAUUCCUCUCACCGGGUACGCUGCGCUUAUUCUGUACAGCCAAUGAAUAAUAAAUCAACGCAAAUUACACUGCUUUAUCACUAACGACCAUUUCCUGGUCAGCUAUACCACAGACUACAGACUCUCCCACAGGAGAAAAAUAACCCCCAGUGACAUAAAAUAGGAGUUAUUUAUAGCCUGCAGGGGAACAAUUGGGCUCUAACAUAUAAUUUGCAGUACUCUUUAUAUUCACAGUGAAUUUGGCCCUUAAAAUCUUUGGUUGUAUGAAGGCAUAAGCUGCUUUCAUCACUAAUGCAUGAACCUGCAAAGUAUUCAAACAUCAAUUAAAAUAAUUAGCUGCUAGGCAGCUCCCCAUGCCCCACAAGAAGCGCCUUGCACUUGACAACUGGGUCACAUGUACCUUGUUUCUUCACCACCUCUACUUUUCCCAGGCUUUUAACUGAGAAUGUAACUAUCUUAGGGUGCAAGCAGCUGAGGCUAAAGCAAAGCUCCGUGUUGGGACUGUGGCACUCCUCAGCAAGUUAGCCUUCUGACUAUCUCAAGACAGUUUAAAGCCAUUCCUGCUCUGAGAGGCGUGGGAGCACAGCACCUCAGGGCUGUCAGGGAGCCACGCAGAUGGAGAGAUGACUCAAAGAGGCACCAAUGCUGGUCAGGCUCCGAGUACUCUCAGUGCUCAGGAACCAAAGACCACAGUACUGUGCUGACUGUGUGAUUUUUUUAUUUUUUUUUUGAUUUUUUUUUUUUGCAUUUACCCAUAACUUAUUAUUAAGAAAUAAAGGAAAACAUCACAUUGAUGCAAACCAAGGCUAGCUCUCUGACUUCACAGGACUGACAAGAGCACAGAAUAAUGCAUUACACUGCCAUAGCUUUGCUCAAAUCAUCCAGUGUAUUCUUGCCCACAAAGGUUCAGCCCUGACAUGCAAAAUUCUUCAGAAAGAAGUGCAGAAAGCAUGGGGGAUGGAAGGAGGGAGGGAAAAUCGAGCCAGGAGAAGGGAGAACAAGCACCUCUAGGACACUUCUAUGCCAAUCUCCAUCCAACAAAGGCAGUAUGGGCUGCUGCAAGGUCCCACAUUAUCAGUGCAGAGAUCUGAGUGCAUCUAACAAUGCAAGCUGUGGGUGUCUGGCUAGAGCCUUCUCUCUUUGUGACUAAGGAGCUGCCUUUAUGGCUGGGUUGGCUUGCCCUGAAGGCUUCACAAAGCAUUGUAUAAUAAAGAUAACUGAAAUACAGACUGUGUCAACAGACACUUCCUUUGAGAGAGGUAAACAGGAGGACAGUACUUCGCUCAUCAAAAACAAUGAAAUGUACCUAUAGGGCAUGCAAAGCCAGCCAAGAUCCUCUUGGGCUUUCUCUUUCCUUUUAAAAAGAAAAUAUUUAUUAUUUUUUCCUCAAAUUUAAUACUUGAAGAAGAAAAUACUGGGAACACCCACAAUGAUGUCAUAUCAGUUUCUCACUUCAGGUCAAGCGCAGUGCAAGGGGAAGUAGGGGCUCAGCAGGGAUCCCACUCUGUUCCUCCUACCCACACAAAGGCAGCAAUGCGGUGUCCAGAAGAGAGGCCAUGUUCAGACUUGCCCACCAGCCUUGCCACAAGAAAAAAAGAGUAUUAUAUAUAUGAAAAGGUAGACACGCCAGGAUGUGGCGUGUAUUUCCUAUACAAUUGAGUCCAACAGUUCCAGAAAGGAGAUUAAUGUAGUGUUCUUCUUUGGCCUAAAGACAGUGAUGGAAACAACCCAGGACAGGACAGCAAACAAACACUUGUGGGGAAGAUGUUUUCAGCCUUCCAGCUCAAAAAAAAAAGCAACUAGAAGACAGUAUGGUAUGGCCUGGCAUAUAAGUAGCUACCAGGAUAGCCAAAGCAAAUGAACACAAAGACAGAGAAGGUAAAAACCAUUUCUUUCAAGUUUCUGUUUCUCUAACUGUGAAAUGGUAUCAUCCAUACAAUACCAUCCUCUAGUGUCUUCAUCAAAAUAUCUAUUUCUUAACUUUACCAUCCAUGUCACAUGCAUUUACAGCUUUUUCCACCAGAUCAGUCUGAUGCAGAACACACUGGGGAACAGGCAGCAGCAGGGCUGUUUUGAGCUUGGCCAAGCACCUUUUCCUAGUAGAGAGCAGGAUGUGACUCGCACCCACUGCAAGACAAGCCAGAUCUUUACUUCUCCACAAAAUAGUGUUAGUCACAUUUUCUCUUAAGCUCUUUAGCUAUUUUCCUUGCACCAGGAGUCAUAGGUAAUGUCUCAACAGCACCUAUGAAGGUCGGGCUGCCACACAGUUAUGCCAAGCACCUGAGUUUGUGCCAUUCAGCUCCUUCAUGGCUCUGCUGCACACCUCCACCACUGUGAAGAAGUCUUAACAUGACCAAAAUGUACAGCGGGAAUAUCAAACUGCUGCUAACUGCAAAUUUUAAUUAGAGCAUUUGCCUCUGGUGCAAUGCAGUAAUAAAGAGAAAAUGGGUGCAUCUGCUUUCUUUUAAGGAUCUCUAUGCAGGCAGGUACAGGCAGACCUCAGCUUGCUGGCUCCCAGCUGGAAGCUGUGCGUUGCUUUGGAUGCAGCGCAGCACACAGUGCAUGAGGAAAUAGGCCCUACCGCUCAGCGCACCUAAGCUUGCCUAGAUGACUGCAAACAGAAAGGAGAAUUGUGCCCCUGCAGCAAGGGAGAAAAAAAAAAAUCCAGAUUUUUUUCUUUACAUCCAACACUUGUUCACACUUGUCCUAAGAAAAACAAGUUUGCCAGUAUUGCUCUGGUCUUCUCGCAGAGAUACACUUUUAGACAUUUUUUGGCUUGCUGUUCAUCAUAUUUAGGUCAUUUGCAGGUAUUAAGCUAUCAUCCGCACAUAGAUGAUAGCAAGUAUAACAGGAGAGUAAUAUUCAGAGAGGAUAAAUCACAGUGGGUAGUGGAUUAUAAUAAAGAACUGUCGAAGCCUGGCUGACCCUUUUAUCAGUGAGAGCCAGCUUUCGCUAACACCUUUAAAUUAGACUUUACCACAUUUGUUUUCUCCAACUGGCUAUUUUAAAACAGAAUCAGAAUGCAAUAACGGAACGUGAACAGGGACAUAAUAAGGUGUAAAGCCAACAGAAGUGUCUGUUCUUUUUAUUAGGAGGUUUACCAAGUGGCUAACCAGUCAACAAUCAAGUCACUAAUGAAAUAUAAUAAAAUCCGAGGCAUUUUUUCAGGACACUGGCAGUUUUAGGGUUGAGUAUUUUAUACCUCUGUUCUCUCAAAGAUCUUUUUUUCUACUCCUGUUGAGACAGUUUUAUCACAGAGGAAACCCAGAAAAAGCCAGAGACCACAGGAGAAGCAGCUCCUCUCUAGCACCCAGAACCACAAAAGGCACACAUCAGACUUCUCUCCUUGCUCCUGUUCCAACAGCUGGGCAGAAGCCAGGUGAUUUCCUGCUCUAGCCCAGAGGCAAGUAGCCUUCCUGCUCUGCCAGGAGGGCUGCUCUUCCCAGCAGAGAGCUACCAACUGGAAAUACCAACUCCAGCUUCCAGCAGGACCCAGCCAGCCCUUCCUCGUGGUCUGGAGAGCAGAUGCUCCCAGGGCGGACAGCUGCCUUAGACCACAGCAUGGAGUUUGGAUUUAGCAAACAGAAGACCAUAACAAAUGGCAUCAACUCAGCCUUCAGUGCCUUCAUUAAUGGUAAUGAAGAAAGAUACUAAAGACAAAUAGAUAAAUAUUAAGGAGGAAGAACAUGUGUCACAUCAGUAAAUUCAUCAGUUAAUAUAAAUUAAUUUUAAAAAGCACCAACAGAAAAUAGCAUCCUUAGAUUGUAAUAAAGCAGAGAAUAUAAAUUCUAUAUAUCUUUGCCUUUUUUUCCUUGCCAGCAAAAUCAAGGGAGAACACAUAAAUCAACAACAUCACAGCUUUACACGCUGUCAAAAACCAAGAUAGAAUAUGAACAUAACCCAGCUUCAAGUGGAUCUGAAGAAACCGAAUGUUGUAGUCCAUAUGCCAGCUUUGUAAUUACUAAAACACUGGACAUACCCUUGCUUCUGAGUACUGGCCUAGAUUAGCAAGUCACCUGAAAGUUUACAAUGGGAAAACUAUAUGGAUGUAUUCUUGUAGCUACAUGUGUACAGUAAUUAUGGCACAGGUAAGCAAUAACACACGCCUAAGGCAUCAAACUUGGUGAGGCAUGAGGCUUACGUGCAUAUCUACAGUUAUGACUUCAGACUUCAAAGCACUUCUACUGCUCAGACAAAAUCAGUAGCCUACUUUCUUGUAAAACACACACAAGGAUCUAUUACUAUAAAACACAUAUAGGUGCUUAUAUAACGUGAGAAUUAAAGUGUGGGUACCAGAACUGUGAAAGUGUAGGGAGGAUCCUGCUUACAGUGUUUUCCUAUUUAAAGUGAGUUGACUUCAAAGUAGCAGACAAAAGUUAAUGCAGCAGUUAAGCUUUGAAUCUGCCAGUUUCACUCUGAUGCCUGAAGUCAGGUGACUUACAGCAGGCCCCACUUCAAGCUUGUGCUCCCCUUGGAGAAGUGGAGACCAUUCUAAUACAUUACUCACUCAAGAGCUUUCAGACCUAUAAUCAAUCAAGAAAAAGCCGUCACAAGCGCAUAAUUAGUGUCUGUGAGCAUGGCAAUUUAUGACAAAAAUCAAUAAACAUUUCCCAUUUACAUGAUUUUUUCAAAAUAGGACCACGUUUUACAAAAAUACAUUUUUUUUCUGAAGAUUGGUUUUGAAUAGUAUCAGCUUCAAAGCAAAUGUUUCUGUGAGGGCUGUUAUAACAUUCGAGUUCUUACAUGAUCUUCAAGGAGGUAGUGUGACCUAGGAGGCAGCCAUAAUGAGACACAGACAGUGAAUAAAGCACUGAUUUAAUUAUGUUGUUUGAUAUAUUAUGACCUCAUCUGCUGGUGUUUAUACUAAUGUAGUGCUUGAAAUGCUUUAUCG